GACGAACGCUGGCGGCGUGCCUAAUACAUGCAAGUAGAACGCUGAAGGAGGAGCUUGCUCUUCUGGAUGAGUUGCGAACGGGUGAGUAACGCGUAGGUAACCUGCCUGGUAGCGGGGGAUAACUAUUGGAAACGAUAGCUAAUACCGCAUAAGAGUAGAUGUUGCAUGACAUUUGCUUAAAAGGUGCAAUUGCAUCACUACCAGAUGGACCUGCGUUGUAUUAGCUAGUUGGUGGGGUAACGGCUCACCAAGGCGACGAUACAUAGCCGACCUGGGAGGGUGAUCGGCCACACUGGGACUGAGACACGGCCCAGACUCCUACGGGAGGCAGCAGUAGGGAAUCUUCGGCAAAGGACGGAAGUCUGACCGAGCAACGCCGCGUGAGUGAAGAAGGUUUUCGGAUCGUAAAGCUCUGUUGUAAGAGAAGAACGAGUGUGAGAGUGGAAAGUUCACACUGUGACGGUAUCUUACCAGAAAGGGACGGCUAACUACGU
rnacentral:rRNA from 1 species